UACGGGAGGCAGCAGUGGGGAAUAUUGCACAAUGGGCGAAAGCCUGAUGCAGCCAUGCCGCGUGUAUGAAGAAGGCCUUCGGGUUGUAAAGUACUUUCAGUUGUGAGGAAGGGGGUAAGCUUAAUACGCUUAUCUCUUGACGUUAGCAACAGAAGAAGCACCGGCUAACUCCGUGCCAGCAGCCGCGGUAAUACGGAGGGUGCGAGCGUUAAUCGGAAUUACUGGGCGUAAAGCGCAUGCAGGUGGUUCAUUAAGUCAGAUGUGAAAGCCCGGGGCUCAACCUCGGAACUGCAUUUGAAACUGGUGAACUAGAGUACUGUAGAGGGGGGUAGAAUUUCAGGUGUAGCGGUGAAAUGCGUAGAGAUCUGAAGGAAUACCAGUGGCGAAGGCGGCCCCCUGGACAGAUACUGACACUCAGAUGCGAAAGCGUGGGGAGCAAGCAGGAUUAGAUACCCUGGUAGUCCACGCCGUAAACGAUGUCUACUUGGAGGUUGUGGCCUUGAGCCGUGGCUUUCGGAGCUAACGCGUUAAGUAGACCGCCUGGGGAGUACGGUCGCAAGAUUAAAACUCAAAUGAAUUGACGGGGGCCCGCACAAGCGGUGGAGCAUGUGGUUUAAUUCGAUGCAACGCGAAGAACCUUACCUACUCUUGACAUCCAGAGAAGCCAGCGGAGACGCAGGUGUGCCUUCGGGAGCUCUGAGACAGGUGCUGCAUGGCUGUCGUCAGCUCGUGUUGUGAAAUGUUGGGUUAAGUCCCGCAACGAGCGCAACCCUUAUCCUUGUUUGCCAGCGAGUAAUGUCGGGAACUCCAGGGAGACUGCCGGUGAUAAACCGGAGGAAGGUGGGGACGACGUCAAGUCAUCAUGGCCCUUACGAGUAGGGCUACACACGUGCU
rnacentral:rRNA from 1 species